rnacentral:rRNA from 1 species
UACGUAGGGUGCGAGCGUUAAUCGGAAUUACUGGGCGUAAAGCGUGCGCAGGCGGUUGUGCAAGACAGAUGUGAAAUCCCCGGGCUCAACCUGGGAACUGCAUUUGUGACUGCACAGCUGGAGUGCGGCAGAGGGGGAUGGAAUUCCGCGUGUAGCAGUGAAAUGCGUAGAUAUGCGGAGGAACACCGAUGGCGAAGGCAAUCCCCUGGGCCUGCACUGACGCUCAUGCACGAAAGCGUGGGGAGCAAACAGG